rnacentral:rRNA from 1 species
GAUCCUGGCUCAGGAUGAACGCUAGCGACAGGCCUAACACAUGCAAGUCGAGGGGCAGCGGGGAGGUAGCAAUACCUUUGCCGGCGACCGGCGCACGGGUGAGUAACACGUAUGCAAUCCACCUGUAACAGGGGGAUAACCCGGAGAAAUCCGGACUAAUACCCCAUAAUAUGGGCGCUCCGCAUGGAGAGUCCAUUAAAGAGAGCAAUCUUGGUUACAGACGAGCAUGCGCUCCA